rnacentral:rRNA from 1 species
UACAGAGGCCCCGAGCGUUAGUCGGAAUUACUGGGCUUAAAGGGUGCGUAGGCGGAUCGAUAAGUGUCGUGUGAAAUCCCACUGCUCAACGGUGGAACCGCACGGCAAACUGUCGAUCUUGAGGAAGGUAGAGGCCGUUGGAACGAAUGGUGGAGCGGUGGAAUGCGUAGAUAUCAUUCGGAACGCCAAAGGUGAAGACAGGCGGCUAGGCCUUUCCUGACGCUGAGGCACGAAAGCGUGGGGAGCAAACAGG